rnacentral:rRNA from 1 species
GCUCAACCUGGGAACUGCAUUUGUGACUGCAUGGCUAGAGUACUGUAGAGGGGGAUGGAAUUCCGCGUGUAGCAGUGAAAUGCGUAGAUAUGCGGAGGAACACCGAUGGCGAAGGCAAUCCCCUGGACC